rnacentral:rRNA from 1 species
UACGUAGGGUGCAAGCGUUACUCGGAAUUACUGGGCGUAAAGCGUGCGCAGGCGGUUAUGUAAGACAGAUGUGAAAUCCCCGGGCUCAACCUGGGAACUGCAUUUGUGACUGCAUAGCUAGAGUUUGUCAGAGGGGGGUGGAAUUCCACGUGUAGCAGUGAAAUGCGUAGAUAUGUGGAAGAACACCGAUGGCGAAGGCAGCCCCCUGGGAUAAGACUGACGCGCAUGCACGAAAGCGUGGGGAGCAAACAGG